UCAAUCGAUCUGCUCUCCAUCCGUGCUCCCCGGGGUCACCCUCCGUCUGCUCCCCAACCGUGGCUUGCCCACGCGGGACGCCCACGGUCAAGCCGGCGCGAGCGGCAGCUCUAGCGCCAAGGUUCCGCACAGGUUGCGCGGCGAUGGCCAGCCUCCCCUCCCAUUCCCCGCGCGACGAGGCCGCUCCAUGGCGAGUCGCGUCUGGCGUCGGCCCGGCUCGCUCCAGGCCCUCUCCGCCGUCCUCCUUCUGGCCGCCGCUGGUGCUCCCUCUCACGCUCUCCUACCGUAACGCCAACGGGCUCGUCGCCUUGCCGCGGCGGGGGCUUGGGGACGGCACCCGCUCCAACGCGCGCAUGCGCCUCAACGACGAUCUCCUCACCAGCGGGUCGGUACAGCUCGAUUUUUUUAAACCACCAGGUGGGGCUGGAUUCCUGUGUCUCGGGAGUCAGGAAGCUCAGGUAGUGCCAGCAGCAACGUGUCCACGCAGACACCAAAUGGAAAUUUAUCUGUUCAGCAACCACUUUGAAACUGUGUGAGAUGGUAUGAUUGAUUAGGAUGGUCGCACGUAUGAAUAUGUGCUGUCCACUUGUGAACUGCAGCUGGACUGUUCAAGCAAGCUAAUUGAUGAUUACACUAAUUAUACGGGUUCGCUAGACUGCUUGAUGUGCAUCGAUAUAUAGGGAGUCUAAUUAUCAGAAGAUUCACAUUUCCAUUUGCAUGUAGAUUAGGUGGUUCCAGUUUAGUCAUGGGUUGUUGAUAAAUUGUAAUGUGGACUGAGGACGUGGUUUCAACCUACAGCACUGCAGGCAAAGUGAGGUGCCAUAAUUAUAUACUUUUUUUAAAUGGUGAAUUCCUGAAACACAAGAGUUUAUGGUCAUUGGUCAGCACUUCCAAACAAGUACCAUGCAAAUCUUGGUCACAACCUAUUCCUUUAGAUUGCCAGCCGUUGGCCUUGUUUUUGUCGUUAACAAUUUUUAGCCAACUUCUUAACUUUAUCCAGCCAUCCCUCACCUACGACGCCUACCGCUGCCUCGCCCUCCUCGGCCGCGUGUUCCAAGCCGCCCGCGCCUCCUCUGGUGUUGCCACGACGGCAGCAAGAUUUUCCUGGCCUUGGACAGCGAGUCUGUGCUUGGGUGGUUCCGGGCCGUGUAUGAGAAGAUGAACCUUGCAUUGGAUGGGAUGCCUUACUCGGACAUUGGCACCUCUGAUGAAACCAAGGAGCAAGUUGAACUCAUCAAUGCACAAUUGAAGAGAUACAAGAAGAGAACAGACACUCAGGAUAUGGAGCUCUCGAUGGAUUUCAUGGUCAUACUCCAGAACAAGGAAAGGCUAGCCAAGAAACUCGAGCUGCAAAGGGGAACCUGAUUCAAGUGUUUUGCCUUGUAUGCCACAUCUUCUUUGAAAAUAGUAAAAAAAAAAAUUCCUUGCUAAAUAUACCUCCCUCACUAUAUUGGUGUUCGGAAUAUAAAGGUAAUUUGUAUUGAAAAUAGUUAAAGGAAAUAUUGAACCGAAUCAGCCUGCUGACCCUCCAUGUUAUGUAUGUUACAACAAAAGAUUCAUAGACUUUAGUUAUAUUACAACAGAAUCUUAUAUGGUUCUCCAU